rnacentral:tRNA from 1 species
GGCAAUGUGGCUUAGUGGAUAAAGCACUAUACUGGGAUUCAGGAGAUCUGGGUUCUUUACACAGCUCUGCCA